rnacentral:rRNA from 1 species
UACGGGGGGGGGCAAGCGUUGUUCGGAAUUACUGGGCGUAAAGGGCUCGUAGGCGGCCAACUAAGUCAGACGUGAAAUCCCUCGGCUUAACCGGGGAACUGCAUCUGAUACUGGAUGGCUUGAGUUCGGGAGAGGGAUGCGGAAUUCCAGGUGUAGCGGUGAAAUGCGUAGAUAUCUGGAGGAACACCAAUUGCGAAGGCAGCUGGCUACAGGUGGAUUGACACUGAGGCACGAAAGCGUGGGGAUCAAACAGG